GCUUUAAUAAUUUAAUUUAAAAUAUUGAUCUUGUAUAUCAAAAAUAACAAACGUUUUAAAGCU
rnacentral:tRNA from 1 species